rnacentral:tRNA from 1 species
AUUACUUUGGCAGAUUAGUGCUUUAAAUUUAGAAUUUAAAUAUAUAUUAUGUUUAAUAUAGGUAAUA